CGCGUGUCAUGGGGCAACCGAUAGUUCUAAACACUAUAUAGUUCCAGCACCGAACCACAUUCAUUUCAGCUGACAUGUGAACCCAUGGGAGACUGACUUUGAUGACCUAGCAAGCCAGUUAUCUACAAAUGAUCCAGAAAUCAAUAAGUUCUCUCCAACAGCAACAGGCUCGACCCGACUCAAGACCCAGUCUCCUCUGGAUCCUAUGACAUGGUCUGCUUCCAGUGGUGGAAUGUAGCCAAGUACAUUUACUCAAGUACUGUACUUAAGUACAGAUUUGAGGUACUUGUGCUUUACUUGAGUAUUUCCAUUUAAUGCAACUUUAUACUUUUACUCCACUACAUCUCAGAGGCAAAUUUGAACUCUUUAGUCUGACAGCUUUAGUUACUACAGUAGUUACUUUUCAGUUUACAAUUUGUCAUACCCUUCCUGUCCAGUGAAAACCAUGUACUGUAUCUCCAAAUGAGGUGAUUUUGAAUGUUUGUGAUAAACUGAAAGAUUAAAUGUUCCUUUAUGGGUUGAAAAAUGCUCUUACUUCUUAAGCUAAAUAAACUAUUUAAAACCCCCCUUGGAUUAGCUAGAAAAUGCAUUGUCACAAAGAUGAAAACAGGGCUGUUUUUCUGAGAUCAUGAAAAGGUGUUAAAUUAGCUCAACCUUAAACAUCUACAGCAAUAAAAUGCAACAUAUGCAUUAAUGCAGCAGUAAUAUUAAUCCAAAAACAUCAUAUACAGUAUAAUAGUAAAACACUGACAGGGAAAAUUUUUCUGCUGAGUAAGUACUUUUACUUUUGCUACUUUAAGUAAAUUUUGCUGAUAAUACUUACAUACUUUUACUUAAGUAAGGUUUUGAAUGCAGGACUUUUACUUGUAGUGGAGUAUUUUCACAGUGUGGUAUUAGUACUUUAGUAUUAAGUAAAAGAUCUUCCACAGCUAUCUGCUUCUGGCAGUGGAAUGCCCUCACCCAAAAAUAAAAGUAACUGUUGCAUUACUUGUGGCGUGGAGUUUGAAUGUUUUUGCUAUCACUGUAUGGAUAAGAGUUUGACUCUGUGGUUCUUAUGUGUGUCUGGAGAUGUUUUGAGCAGUCAUCGUCCAGUGAAGUUUAUUGAGCACUCAUGGCCAGAUCUCCUUUUUUCCCUGCUGCUGCAGUGAAAGAAAGAAUGCAAUGGCUAUUUUGAACACUUUUAUGCCUUUCCUGGCCUGCUUUCUGCCAUCAUUCUCUCCUUGUAGGAGGUCGAAUGAGAUUCUUUGAAGACUGCCCAUUCAAGGAAAAACUUAUGUACCAUCUCCCUCGAUAUAUUAUACAAUAAAAUGUUUUGUU